rnacentral:rRNA from 1 species
UACGUAGGGUGCAAGCGUUGUCCGGAAUUAUUGGGCGUAAAGAGCUCGUAGGCGGUUUGUCGCGUCGAAUGUGAAAACCCGGGGCUCAACCCCGGGCCUGCAGUCGAUACGGGCAAACUGGAGUGUUGCAGGGGAGACUGGAAUUCCUGGUGUAGCGGUGAAAUGCGCAGAUAUCAGGAGGAACACCGGUGGCGAAGGCGGGUCUCUGGGCAACAACUGACGCUGAGGAGCGAAAGCGUGGGGAGCGAACAGG